CGAGCCCGGGCGGGAGAGACCUCCGGCGACGACCGGGGGCGCCGAAGGAGCAACCACUCCCUGGAAACUCUCAGGCACCACCAACCGUUCGGGCGAG
rnacentral:ncRNA from 1 species